UACGUAGGGUGCGAGCGUUGUCCGGAAUUACUGGGCGUAAAGAGCUCGUAGGUGGUUUGUCGCGUUGUUCGUGAAAACUCACAGCUCAACUGUGGGCGUGCGGGCGAUACGGGCAGACUGGAGUACUGCAGGGGAGACUGGAAUUCCUGGUGUAGCGGUGGAAUGCGCAGAUAUCAGGAGGAACACCGGUGGCGAAGGCGACUUUCUGGGACAUUCCUGACGCUGAGGAGCGAAAGCGUGGGGAGCAAACGGG
rnacentral:rRNA from 1 species